GACAGAGGAGCCAAGCGUUGUCCGGAUUGACUGGGCGUAAAGGGCGCGUAGGCGGCCUGAUAAGUAGGGGGUGAAAUCCUGCGGCUUAACCGCAGGGCUGCCUUCUAAACUGUCAGGCUCGAGCACAGUAGAGGCAGGUGGAAUUCCCGGUGUAGCGGUGGAAUGCGUAGAGAUCGGGAAGAACAUCAGUGGCGAAGGCGGCCUGCUGGGCUGUUGCUGACGCUGAGGCGCGACAGCGUGGGAGCAAACAGG
rnacentral:rRNA from 1 species